rnacentral:rRNA from 1 species
GACGAACGCUGGCGGCGUGCUUAACACAUGCAAGUCGAACGGAAAGGCCCUGCUUUUGUGGGGUGCUCGAGUGGCGAACGGGUGAGUAACACGUGAGUAACCUGCCCUUGACUUUGGGAUAACUUCAGGAAACUGGGGCUAAUACCGGAUAGGAGCUCCUGCUGCAUGGUGGGGGUUGGAAAGUUUCGGCGGUUGGGGAUGGACUCGCGGCUUAUCAGCUUGUUGGUGGGGUAGUGGCUUACCAAGGCUUUGACGGGUAGCCGGCCUGGGAGGGUGACCGGCCACAGUGGGACUGGGAAACGGCCCGGAGUCAUACGGGAGGCAGCAGUGGGGACUAGUGCGCAAUGGGCGGAAGCCGGAUGGAGGAACGCCGGGUGGGGGAUGACGGCCUUCGGGUUGUAAACCGCUUUCGACUGUGACGAAGCGUGAGUGACGGUAAUGGGUAAAGAAGCACGGGCUAAUUACGU